ensembl:lncRNA
CGUUAUUUCCGCCGUGGAAUGAGCUACUGUGUUGUAUGCAGAGUAAACAUGGAGAGAUUCUUCACUACUUCUCUCUCUCUACAACUAAAGCACUCUACAACUAAAGAAACAAGGCUGAACAAUGGAUAUAAAUUUUUCGUUGAGGAAUUUGUACACAGUUAUCAAGAUGACAUUUGAGUCGGAAGAGGAUGUUUGUGUUUCUGCCUAUAUGUGUAGCUGGUAAAGGGUUGUAUAACCAUCUGACAGCUAUAAUGUAUCAGACGGCCCGCUAUGUGCAGCUUAGUUUACAGUCUGUCCCACCACCACUGGCCUGCACGAGUGAGCCACAGAGAUGGCAUCGUCCAAGGACACAGGCAAGUAUAUUGUCUUUUUUUUCUUUUCUGCAUCUGGAAAGAACACUAAUAACAGUAAGUAAACAAACAUUGUAUAUGCUAUCAUGAAAGCUUUAUGGACUAAUAAUGAACAAGAGUGUAUGUCAAAAAUAGAGUUGGUCCCCUCACAGUUUGGUCCUGUACCUCAUGGCAGUCCACUAUCCUACCAGUGCCCCCCGCCCCCAUUGAACAUUUAAUUCAAUGUUAAUUGAAUUAAAAUAACAGCAAUGAGAAAUACUGUUGGUUAAUUGUAAAUAAACAGCAUAAAAAGCAGUGUGAAAGUAACUGUUGCGUGGUGUACAUGCAUUUUGGACUUCCUGUAGUUUUUAUCCCGAUUGUAUUACACAACUUCAAACAGGUUACUCGCACCGGUGCGACUAAAUAUUUAUUCACAGUCGCACAAAGCACUUUUCAGUCACAAAUGCGAGUGAAAUGGUCACACUGUAGAGCCCUGAGUUUAUCUGCAAAGUUUUUUCACGUUCGGCACGCUGACGUUUAAUGUCCCCGACAACCUCUGUAGUGCCAUUUAGCAACAUGUUAAUGUCAUGAUUUCCCCACGCACAAAGCGCUGGAACAUGAAGCAAAGCUGGCAGAUCGAGAGUUAAAAUGCUAACGCCGUUUCUGGGUUUUUGCACUACAAAAUGAGGUCAUCCAUGCGCCACUCUCUGGUGACUGGCUGUAAGUUUAGGAAGCGCUUGAUUUGAUCUGCAGCGGAGUUUUCUAUGAGCGAAGGACGAACUUUAAACGUCAAUAUCGCAGUCGAUCAUGUUCAUUUAAUCGUGGGCAGUCAAAAUCGUAAUCGAGAUCAAUAUUCAAUUAAUGGUGCAGCCCUACUCAAAGAGACCCAUAAGUAUUAUUGGCAGGUACAAGACCAGCUUGCAGUGACUGGUCUACUGUGGUGUGACUUUUUGACUAAGACAAAAUCAGAUCUCACAAUACAGAUGAUUUGGCGAGAUGAUUCCUUUGUAGUGUUCAUGAAAGACAAGCUAGAUGUGUAUUACUGUAAUGUUUACAUGGUUGUGUAUUUGUCAAUGGUAUGAAUUAAGUUUCUGUUCAUAGUGUAGUACAUGAACAUUUUGUGUAUUGUUUUUAUUAUUGUAUUAAGUAUAUUGUAUUAAUUUCUAUUAACAUAUGUAAAUAUAGACAAACCAAGGUGAAUGUAUAAUUAGAUUUUGUAUGAGAUCUUUUGUAAUAUAGAUAGAUAUAUUGUAUUACCUAGAUUAUUCCUAUGUAUAUAUUUACAUUGAAUACAUUGUAGUUUAUCUUACAAAUGUAGUGCAGAUGUACAAUUUCAUGUUGUAAUUUUGUGAAAUAACAACUGGACAAUAUAAUUGAGGUUUGUCAUAUUUUUUUUCAUUAAUUAUUAUUAAAAAGACAUUUAAUUGCAACCUAUUUCAUUGUGCCUGUCAAAUGAUUUUCAGGAAACUUACUGUACAGCUAAAAGAACAAGUAACAAUAAAUAAAACAAAACAAAUGUAUUUUAAGAAACUAUCAAGUUAAAUACCACUAAAACACUACCAUUGUAAAACUCGAUCACAAUGUCACUCUAAUAAUAUAAACAAGUGAAAAAACAUUCACUGCUUAAACAUUGGUCCCUGGUAAUUAACCAUAAAACAGCAAUUAUGCCAGAUCUGAUUCAUGCUUCCUGACUAGGUGAGUGGCACUACAGAAUCCCAGCGGUGAAAUGCUGACUGCAGACGUGUGCUACCUCUCCGAAUCAUAAACAAUUGCUACACUGAGGCAUGCUACAACACCACUUACGCUGAGAAUUUGCUAUUAUCACUGGAAGUAAAUUAACGGUGAGUGCCGGAAACACAAAACCCGGAAGUGUGAAAAAGGCAAAUACUGGACAAACUACAUCCACCAUUUUGGCAUUGUCAUGUGACCUUUGACAUCCCCUUAAACAAAAAUCUUAAAGGGAACACCAGAUUAAGGCAACCGCACUAAUGGCAAAAUGCAUAACAGGAAAGUUAACUGAGUUAGUAAUUUAAUGUGGGCAGUGUUAUCAGGCUGAGGUAAAUUCGUUAGUGUUAUCUUGGCCGGCUUAGGCAUGAUUGAGAUCACAAAAAGGUUUCAAAUGCUGUGACAAUUGUUUUGUUUUUUAAAACUUCAACACGUUAACAAUUUAUUUGGGUAUUGUUAAACAAGUCCUAUUUAACCAAGGUUUAAUACUUAAAAAGAACUGACGUGCUGUUUUCUGCGUUUUUUUCUGAGCUCGUCCACACCAGCCCUGUUGCAUUAUGGGAUUUUUGUGUCCAUUGGUUGCAUACUGCAAAAUCUCGCCGGAAGCAGUAUCCGGGUAUUUCUCGCCUACUGUGAAUUCAGACAUAUGACCCCUCUGGCUUACUGCUUUUCACCUACUGUGUAGUAGGGUAGUACAUGAUUUCAGACACAGUCAUAUGCCGCGAUCACACUAGGCUUGAAGCAUGCAUAUUUUUGUCAGAUGCAGCUGUGAAUAUGGG